CUACUUAUAAUGCCGAAUCCUUAUAAGGUACGGGGGAACCAAUAAAAAUACAGGGGUGAAUCCGCAAAAAUAUGCGGUAGGGCGUUCUCAUGUUCCUUCUCUUUUGCCCGAAUCCGACAGCUAACCCCGGAGGCUAAAGCUAAUGAGGUU
rnacentral:sRNA from 1 species